rnacentral:misc_RNA from 1 species
ACUUUUUUUACUUCGGAAUCUGUAGACGCCAUUUUAUUUCAUAGUAUUCUAUUUCAGAAAGAAAUUACCUAAAUUCUUGUUCAAAAUGAAUCGAGGCAAUGCUGAGUGUCGUGUUUAUGUAGGGAAUCUUCCAAAUGACGUUAAAGCAAAAGAAUUGGAUGAUUUAUUUUAUAAAUAUGGCACAAUUAAGGACAUAAGUUUAAAGAAAGAUACACGUGGUGGUCAACCAUUUGCUUUUAUUGAGUUUGAAGAUCCAAGAGAUGCCCAAGAUGCAAUCAGGGGUCGUGAUGGCUAUGAUCUUGAUGGUAAUCAGUUGAGGGUUGAAUUACCACGUUCAGCUGGGGGUGGUGGUGGCUUCAGAGGAGGUCGUGGUCAAAGUCGCUUUGGUGGAGGAGGUGGACGCGGCCGUGGUGGAAGACCUUUUAUCCCCCGUGGUAAUGGUUUUCGUGUUUUAGUGAAGAAUCUUCCUCCAACUGGAAGCUGGCAAGAUUUGAAAGAUCAUAUGAGGGAAGCUGGGGAUGUCAUGUUUACUGAUGUUUUCAGUGAUUGUACUGGAGUUGUUGAGUUUGCACGACAUGAAGAUAUGAAGAGAGCUGUCAGGAUAUUAAAUGAUACCAAAUUUCGUUCCCACCAGAAUGAAACAUCAUAUGUGACUGUUGAGGAAGAUGAAACAGCAAGACCUGGUAGAUAUAGCAGAUCAAGAAGUCCAAGACGUUCACGAAGUCGAUCAUUUUCACCAAGAAGAUAUUCAAGAUCGCCAAGGCGAUCUUAUUCAAGAAGCCGCUCACGGUCUAGAUCUUAAAUCAUUGAUGCAAAAAGUUUUCAGCACUUGUUAUGUGAUAUAUGGUUUUCAGGGAACCUCUGGUUGCAGAUGUUUGUAUUGUAUGGCAGAAUAUCAAAAUACUGUAAACAUAUGAGUGAUUUUCGAGGCAGACAUUCUUAAGUUGUCAGUCUAAUGCUAUCAUUGGUCUUAACAGAACAUCUAUGGCUAAAUCUUAUGAUGAUUUAAUCCUCCUGUGUAUGGACAUGGAGUGGAGGAAUCGUAGGACAGAUAGGAUUUUGGAAGGAUAGGAUUACUUUUUAGCUUGG